AUAGACGUGCCGAGCCCUGGAUUCGCCGUAGCAGUUGCGCUGCUGCUGGUCGACAUCCAGGAAACGACACUGCGCUCACGCACACUAAUACGCCGCACUUAGCGAUGCGCGCUAAGUGUGUGCAGAGCGCACCUAACGCAGGAGUGUGUAUCAGGCUACCGGUCGAGCAGGGCUCCCGGUAGGGCUCACGGUGCGGCUCGUGCGCGCGGCCCCAGACAUCAAUAUAUUGUGUUUUGUAUUAUUUAAUAUAUGUAAUAAAGGUGUAAAUAGUUAAAACAUAAAAGUGGCGACGAGGAUGGGAUCCUCUUGCGCAAGGAGGAUCCUACAGAACCCGCGGCAGCCAUCGCGUUUCGUCUGGCCUUUCUGCAGCGUCAGUGCAGCGGCCAUCGCGAUGGCACGGUUCCCUGUGCCUUUGGAUACCGCGGAACAUCGGGCCGCCGCCACCGGAUACACCGUGGCCCCGGCUGCUGUCCCAUCACUGGCGACCGCUGCAUUGGGCAGCCGGCUACACACCACCCACUGCAGCCGCAUAUCAAGGGCGACGGCACAUUCCGCCCCGGCUCGAGCCCUGCAGCACGUCAUCGGUGAAGCAGCAAUCCCGCCGCAGCUCGAGCCCAGCAUCACCAACAGUAACGCGCAAGUUACUUCGGCUGCCGCACCUCAGCACAUCAUCGGCGAGGUCGCAAUCCCGCCAAGGCUCGAGUCCGCCUCAUCAUCGGCAACCCGCAGGUUGCUUUGACUGCAGCACUGCAGCAUGUCAUCGGCGAGGUCGCAUUCCCGCCGCGGCUCGAGCCCCGCAUCACCAACGGCGACACGUAAGUCGCCUCGGCUGCAACGCAGCAGCCUCGCAUCAUAGGCGACGACACAUUCCGCCUCACCUGCAGCAAACCUAGCACGUCCAGCCAGAGACGCCAUCGCUGUGGCCGGCCAUUGCUGUCGCCGGUCAUGGCCCUGCCGGUGCAAGGUUUCAUCGCGGCACCACCCUCACCUCCCGGCAGGCGUAGCAGCGACGCUACAACCCGAGGACGCGAACGCGGCAUCAUCGCCGCCGCCCCGGGACAACGGUGCACCAUAGCAGACGCUCACGAGGACAGCGAACACGGCAUCAUCGCCGCCGCCUCGGGACAACAGGUCACCAUAACAGACGCUACCCGAGGACAGCGAACGCGGCUUCAUCGCCGCCGCUCCGGGAGCAACAACCGCAACCCGAGGAACGCGAACGCGGCAUCAUCGCCGCCGCCCCGGGAACAUGAGCGCAGCAGCAUCACGAUUCCCACUACGUACCAUCGGUCGAAGGGUGUCACCACGCUGGUAUUCCGUUGUGGAAUACCACCCGCGUCGGUUCGACCCUUCGGUUAUUAAAAGGGGGAGAUGUUGUGGAUAGACGUGCCGAGCCCUGGAUUCGCCGUAGCAGUUGCGCUGCUGCUGGUCGACAUCCAGGAAUCGACACUGCGCUCACGCACACUAAUACGCCGCACUUAGCGAUGCGCGCUAAGUGCUUGCAGAGCGCACCUAACGCAGGAGUGUGUAUCAGGCUACCGGUCGAGCAGGGCUCCCGGUAGGGCUCACGGUGCGGCUCGUGCGCGCGGCCCCAGACAUCAAUAUAUUGUGUUUUGUAUUAUUUAAUAUGUGUAAUAAAGGUGUAAAUAGUUAAAACAUAAAAAAA